rnacentral:rRNA from 1 species
GGACUACUGGGCGUAAAGCGUGCGCAGGCGGUUUUGUAAGACAGCUGUGAAAUCCCCGGGCUUAACCUGGGAACUGCGGUUGUGACUGCAAGACUGGAGUGUGGCAGAGGGGGGUGGAAUUCCACGUGUAGCAGUGAAAUGCGUAGAGAUGUGGAGGAACACCGAUGGCGAAGGCAGCCCCCUGGGUCAACACUGACGCUCAUGCACGAAAGCGUGGGGAGCAAACAGG